AUCGCUUCUCGGCCUUUUGGCUAAGAUCAAGUGUAGUAUCUGUUCUUAUCAGUUUAAAUAUGCUGCCCAGGGUACACCAUUCACACUCAUCUCAUGAGACCCGAGGAAGUUACACAAAAAUGUAGAGAGGGCAGACUAAGUGUUCUACAAAUGAUAUUAAUUACAGUUACAUGAGAUCUUUCCAAAU